rnacentral:misc_RNA from 1 species
AAAAGGUUGAAAAGCUUUACCUGUGGGAAGAAACAGGGUGUAUGAGAGCUAAGCCUCUUCAUGGUCCUUUUGUAGCAGCACUCCUGAGCGAUCUGUUUGGCAUUCAGUCUCGUGGAGGAUGCAGUUGUGCCGGUCCCUAUGGUCACAAACUGCUCAACAUUGAUGAAACAUGCUCACAUGCCUACAGAUCUGCCAUUGCUAAGGGGUAUGCUGGAAUAAAACCUGG